rnacentral:lncRNA from 1 species
CCCUCAAGCUAACCCAGAAAACAAGCGGUCCACUUUCCCGGGAAUGAGAUGCGUCCCGGAGUUGAGAAGCCCUGAAGGAUUGUCACGGGCUCCCAGAGCCCAAAAGGCAGCAUCCCUUGAUCGGCGCCCCAGGCUCUGCUCCCAGAGCUGGUGGCCACCACCCAAACGAGCGGCGCCUCGGGCGACUGUUCCUGCAGGAUCCGCCAACUGUGCGCGCCUCCCGCCGCUGGGCACCGACAGCAGUGCCGAGAGCCGGACGCGGGCAGGGGCUUCCGGGGCCCGCCGGCGCCCGGACUCCGAUUACAGGUUCACACCAGGAGCCCGGCAGGCGCGCCCUCGCGCAGCCCCGCUCCCCCGCCAGGCUAUUCUUCUCCAUUCAUGCGGACGCCCAGAGCUGCCGCCGCCGCCGCCAGCGCGGCCGC